CGUAGGUGAACCUGCGGAUAUGCAUAUCAAUAAGCGGAGGAAGAUUCCGUAGGUGAACCGUGCAGCAUAUCACAUAUCAAUCACGCAAGAGGAUUGCUAUAGCAAUCAGCGUCAGUAACAACGUAAUUAAUUACAACUUUCAACAACGGAUCUCUUGGUUCUGGCAUCGAUGAAGAACGCAGCGAAAUGCGAUACGUAGUGUGAAUUGCAGAAUUCAGUGAAUCAUCGAAUCUUUGAACGCACAUUGCGCCCUUUGGUAUUCCAAAGGGCAUGCCUGUUCGAGCGUCAUUUGUACCCUCAAGCUUUGCUUGGUGUUGGGCGUCUUUUGUCUCCAGUUCGCUGGAGACUCGCCUUAAAGUCAUUGGCAGCCGGCCUACUGGUUUCGGAGCGCAGCACAAGUCGCGCUCUUUGCCAGCCAAGGUCAGCGUCCAGCAAGCCUUUUUUUCAACCUUUGACCUCGGAUCAGGUAGGGAUACCCGCUGAACUUAAGC
rnacentral:rRNA from 1 species